GACGAACCGUGCGAACGUUGUUCGGAAUCACUGGGCUUAAAGGGCGCGUAGGCGGGGUCGCAAGUCUGUAGUGAAAGCCUCCAGCUUAACUGGAGAAGUGCCAUGGAUACUGCGCAUCUUGAGGAGGGUAGGGGCGUCUGGAACGGUCGGUGGAGCGGUGAAAUGCGUUGAUAUCGACCGGAACUCCGGUGGCGAAGGCGAGGCGCUGGACCCUUUCUGACGCUGAGGCGCGAAGGCCAGGGGAGCAAACGGG
rnacentral:rRNA from 1 species